UCUUAAUACACCUCCACUUUUGCCUAAUACAUCUCUGGCCAUUGGCCAGCAAUCAAGACAAAACGAUAAUUGCACCAAGGCCAAUCUGGGUUACUCCGAAUCUUGUUAAUAAGCUUGAGGAUCUAUCUCAGCCAUGGACUCGAUCUCCAAAAAAAUAAAAAAUGGAACCUGUAGUGGCAACAUGGCAUUUCAUUUCUUCAGACCCUCCUGCAGAUAGCUCAACCAUCGUUUUAGGGACACCAUGAAACUUGCUCCAAUGCUCGAUUCAUAUGACUUGGAUAGAGGAAUGCUUUUCUGUGCAAGCAAUACAAGAAUGGACUGGAAGAUAAGUUAGAAGUCUCUUAAUCAUUUUGAAAUUAUGACAGUGAGAACUUGAAUAGAAUUAUUUAUAUAACUCUUAUGUUGAUAAUCCAGGCUUUGUUGGAGAAUAAAGGUUUCCCAGUUAUAGUUGGAAUUGGUCUGUUGAACUACUCCCUCCCUCCUCUUGUUGUUGAUAUUAAACUUGGCUGGCUUUUCUGCUAGCACUUACAUAUUUGAUAUUAAAGUAUGUAAAUUGAGUUGCA